rnacentral:rRNA from 1 species
AUUGAACGCUGGCGGCAGGCUUAACACAUGCAAGUCGAGCGGGAGAAGGUAGCUUGCUACCGGACCUAGCGGCGGACGGGUGAGUAAUGCUUAGGAAUCUGCCUAUUAGUGGGGGACAACAUCUCGAAAGGGAUGCUAAUACCGCAUACGUCCUACGGGAGAAAGCAGGGGAUCUUCGGACCUUGCGCUAAUAGAUGAGCCUAGGUCGGAUUAGCUAGUUGGUGGGGUAAAGGCCUACCAAGGCGACGAUCUGUAGCGGGUCUGAGAGGAUGAUCCGCCACACUGGGACUGAGACACGGCCCAGACUCCUACGGGAGGCAGCAGUGGGGAAUAUUGGACAAUGGGGGGAACCCUGAUCCAGCCAUGCCGCGUGUGUGAAGAAGGCCUUAUGGUUGUAAAGCACUUUAAGCGAGGAGGAGGCUACUCUAGUUAAUACCUAGGGAUAGUGGACGUUACUCGCAGAAUAAGCACCGGCUAACUCUGUGCCAGCAGCCGCGGUAA